UACGGAGGGUGCAAGCGUUAUCCGGAUUCACUGGGUUUAAAGGGUGCGUAGGUGGGCAGGUAAGUCAGUGGUGAAAUCUCCGGGCUUAACUCGGAAUGGUCAGGUGAUACUGCUUUGCUAGAGUGCAGAAGGGGCAAUCGGAAUUCUUGGUGUAGCGGUGAAAUGCGUAGAUAUCAAGAGGAACACCUGAGGUGAAGACGGGUUGCUGGGCUGACACUGACGCUGAGGCGCGAAAGCUAGGGGAGCAAACGGG
rnacentral:rRNA from 1 species